AAAGUCGUAACAAGGUUUCCGUAGGUGAACCUGCGGAAGGAUCAUUAACACUUUUCUUUAACUAACACUAUCAAUACCAAUGAGCAUCGGAGAGCCUUCUUUUGCGGGGGUCGACUAGGAAAUGGUUGGAAUGCGUCCUAGCCUGCUGUAGAAGUUAGCCCGUCGAACUCCUCGUGGGAACGGCGAUCGGUCUAACGCCCCGACUUUGGAAGGUAUACAGUCUCGACCAUGACUGGCCCUUAAUUUAACCUUUGAUUUUUGUACUUAUUUGGGCUAUGGAUUGAGAGGAGUCAAAUCGAUUCCUUUCUCUGUGGCUGUUGAUCGAUAGUCUCGAUUAUUGAUUCAAUACAAACCAAAACACAACUCUUAACAGCGGAUAUCUCGGUUCUC
rnacentral:misc_RNA from 1 species